rnacentral:rRNA from 1 species
UUCAUCCAGACAGCAGGACGGUGGCCAUGGAAGUCGGAACCCGCUAAGGAGUGUGUAACAACUCACCUGCCGAAUGGAUUAGCCCUGAAAAUGGAUGGCGCUGAAGCGGACGGCUUAUACACCGCCAUCAGGGCAGGUUGUAGGCCCUGAUGAGUAGGAGGGCGUGGGGCUUGUGGCGCAGGCCGUGGCGCGAGCCCGGUUGAAACAGGCUCUAGUGCAGAUCUUGGUGAUAGUAGCAAAUAUUCAAAUGAGAACUUUGAAGACUGAAGUGGAGAAAGGUUUGACGUGAACAGCAGUUGGACGUCAGUGAGCCGCUCCUAAGAGAUAGGGAAAUUCCGUUCGGAAGUGGAGUGUUUUACCUGGGGUAUCUAGCUGAGGGGGGGAUUUUAUUUCUCUUUUGGUUAGCCUGGAGUGGACCACCCCGCACUCGAAAGGGAACACGGUUAAUAUUCCGUGGCCGGGAAGUGAGUGGUGCGGCAACGCAUGCGAGCCUGGGAACGUCGGAGGGAGCCUCGGGGAGAGUUCUCUUUUCUUGUUAACUGUUUUACUAUUACCCUGGAAUCGGUUUACCCGGAGAUAGGGUUACAUGUCAGGUAAAGCACCGCUCUUUUUGUGGUGUCCGAUGCGCUCUCGACGGCCCUUGAAACCCCAGGUAUCGGAACGUGUGAGGUCCUGUCGCCUUUAAUCGGGUGGCGGGGUAGCCUUGCAGAUGCAUACACCCCCGGGCGUACUCAUAACCGCAUCAGGUCUCCAAGGUGAGCAGCCUCUAGUUGAUAGAAUAAUGUAGAUAAGGGAA